rfam:Aneurinibacillus migulanus strain DSM 2895 super7, whole genome shotgun sequence.
CUCUUAUCCAGAGAGGUGGAGGGACUGGCCUGAUGAUACCUCGGCAACCGGUAUAAAGUCGGUGCCAAUUCCAGCGGAACCACGUUCUGAAAGAUAAGAG